GGGAGCGCAUCGGGUUCUGGUGUCCCGCACGGCCUUCAAAGCCGCUGUUUCCCCGCAAAACGGGGAAGGGUGGGUUCGAUUCCCACACGCUCCCGCCA
rnacentral:tRNA from 1 species